AUUGAACGCUGGCGGCAGGCCUAACACAUGCAAGUCGAACGAGUGGCGGACGGGUGAGUAAUGUCUGGGAAACUGCCUGAUGGAGGGGGAUAACUACUGGAAACGGUAGCUAAUACCGCAUACCAUCAGAUGUGCCCAGAUGGGAUUAGAUAGUAGGUGAGGUAACGGCUAACCUAGGCGACGCUCCCUAGCGGAUCUGAGAGGAUGACCAGCCACGCUGGAACUGAGACACGGUCCAGACUCCUACGGGAGGAGGCAGUGGGGAAUAUUGCACAAUGGCCGCAAGCCGGAUGCAGCCAUGUCGCGUGUAUGAAGAAGGCCUUCGGGUGGUAAAGUACUUUCAGCGGGGAGGCGGUACCCGCAGAAGAAGCACCGGCUAACUCCGUGCCAGCAGCCGCGGUAAUUC
rnacentral:rRNA from 1 species